AUUGAACGCUAGCGGGAUGCCUAACACAUGCAAGUCGAACGAGUGGCGGACGGGUGAGUAAUAUAUCGGAAAGUGACCAGUAGCGGGGGAUAACUACUAGAAAGAGUGGCUAAUACCGCAUACCAUCGGAGAGGCCCAAAUGGGAUUAGCUAGUGGGUGGGGUAAAGGCUCACCUAGGCGACGAUCCGGAGCUGGUUUGAGAGGAUGACCAGCCACACUGGGAAUGAGACACGGCCCAGACGCCUACGGGAGGCAGCAGUGGGGAAUAUUGGACAAUGGGGGAAAGCCUGAUGCAGACAUGCCGCGUGUAUGAUGAAGGCCUUCGGGUUGUAAAGUACGUUUAGCAGUGAGGCGGUAUCUGCAGAAUAAGCACCGGCUAACUCCGUGCCAGCAGCCGCGGUAAUAC
rnacentral:rRNA from 1 species